CCGAUCAAUUUUCCCAUUUACUCUUCUUCUCUCAUACGCUUUCUUCACCGCCGCUCAUUAAGAUUUUCAAAUUAAUCUUCAAAACAAUGGUUUUCUCCAGAAACCCCUUUCUCUCAUCCCAUCCAUCUGCGACAUACAUUCAAUCCUUCAUUCGUCUUCAAUCAGCAGGUUUGUAUAUGUUAAUUACCUAUAAUGUUUUAUUCUAAUGUUCUUUGCUACUAUCCAGGAUCAAACCCUAGAUUCUUUGUUCUUUUGUCUCCUCCACUGCUGCAAAUUACAAAAAUUGCCGUCGAUUUCUUCCGUCAGAGCAUUCAGGUUCUCCUGCAAACCCACCUGAAGAUGUAGAACGUUGGUUCUGCAGCGGUUAGGGUUUUGCUGCGAACCCGAUGAUGGUGAUGAUCAGAGGUUGUCGGAGUCCGCCCCCUCCGAGUUUCCGUUCAAGCUCCGCCAGUUCAAGCUCCGCCACUGAUUAUAAGGCGAUCCUAACACAUCGGAAGGGGAUAAUUAAGGAUGAUAAAGUGGACCUUGCUGAAGGAGUUUGAGAGCACUUUGACUUCCAGCACUUGAGCAGGUAUUGUCCCUCUUUGCUUUUCUACUUAUCGAGCUUUUGACAUCCUUCAAAUCGUCUAUUGUAAUUUUUCUUGGAGGUUGCACUUUUCGACCCAUUUACUUAACAUGGUCAAGUAGCGGGUCAAAACAGGUAACUAUUAGCUAGGGUCAAAAUAGUUGGGUCGAGUAAGUCUGCAAAUAUCUUUAUCUUUUCAUUUGAUAUAUUAUUAGUGUGCUCUUGAUUUAAUAUAUUAAUUUGUUUUUUAUAUAUAAAUUCAUCUUCUUUAUAAGUCAAUAUUUAUACAAUAAUUAAGGCUCCCAUCUUAUGGUUAAAAUACAGAAAAUUUUCUAAAUUUAUGAACAUAUGGUGUUUAGAUUAGAGCAGGGAGACUUCAAGGCAUCAGUGUGUGAAUAACAAAUGAUUUGUACCAUCAUGCAAUGGGAAGUCUACAUGGAUUUCUUUGAGGUACAAAUUUAUUACUUUAUUUAUUCCACAUAAAAAGGUUUCAAAAUAACUGAGUAUUAGGCAUUAACUAUCUUUUAAAUACCCUUGACAAGGCGUAUUGAGACACUUUCUCUAUGGGUCUAUAUACCUGGUCUGUCGUCCCGCUCUGAAGAAUUUAUGGGUCGACGGGCAACAUUAGUGUUUUAGGUUCAAGUAUGUAUGACCAGUUCUUGGGAAUGAUAACAAUGGACGAGUAAUAUUAGCGUGAAAACUUUUAAAUACUUGAAAUCUAAUACUUAUCCAUGGUCUGUAGUUUAAAGAAUUAUCAAUUUGGAACACAAAAUUUCUUAUCUGCAUAUCACAUAUAAUUUAUACAAUGAGAUGGUACUAUACUUGAGUAAAAGAUAGUAAUGGAAAUCUGGGUGUGUCAAGCGGGUUGGGUUAAAAGUCAAAGUGAGUUUGGGUCGCUCAAGUUAGGUUGAGCCAACUUGCAAACGCCUUUUUAUUUUUAUGUUUCUUGAAAAUUAAAAAAAAUAUUAAUGUUUAAAAUAUGAUUACAAAACUGUACUCUUGCGAAAAUAAUCUAUUUUUUAAAAUAAAGUGAAUCAAAAGGUUUUAUGCAUAUGAAUGCAUUUUAAACUACUCCAACUCUUUUGGUUAAAAUUUUUUAGCUUUCAUACAUUAAAGAUAUAAGACGACUGAAAUCAAAUGAUUUGUAAAAAAUGGGUAGAGAAGUACCACCUCUAUUGACUUUUUUUUUCUCAUGGUUAUUUUUUUAGUGGGAAUCAACUUGCAGUCAUCUAAUUACAUAAACCAAUUUACAGUCGUAGAGUUUUUGAAGAUCGUUAUGCAAAUUUUAGAAGGAUGGGUGUAUAUGGUUCCUUUGAUCUUUAAAAGUCAAAACUUGCUAAUUACUUGACUUUCUUGCUGCUAAAAACUAAAUGCUUUAACUUCUUUAAAAUGAUUUCAAUUAAAUUCUAACUGAACUUUAGCAUUAUUACAUUGUUAUUAUAAAACAAAUUAGAAUUUUUAGUCCUUUAGGCUUGCACAAAAGGCCAAACUAUGUGAAUUCCUUUGACUUUCUUACUGCUACACAAGGAAAGUUAUGGUUUAAUCAUAUUCAAUAACCAGAUGAGUCUAAUUACUAUUAUUAUUAUUUUUUGUAGAAUUGUAGCUUGAUUUUCCUACUCUAUAUGAACUAACAUUUUAGACAUCAAUGAGACGAUGAAGCCGUAUUGGUUGACUGGCUCAUUGAGAUAACUUUUCGGUCAGAUGGUUUCUAAUUUCUUUUCUUUAGAAUCAGUCAUUGGAUCAUACCCACCAAUGAUAUUUUAUUUAUUAACCAACAUCCCCAAUCCCCAUCCUCGGCCCAUGGGCUAUAUUCCACCACCAUGGGGUGCACCUCCUGGAUACUACGCCAACAACCCAUAUGCUUCUUCGGCAGGUUUGCGUACAUAUAACUUAUAUACACUUAUUUUAUUGAUGGUCAAACAAGGUUUGCCAAUCGAUUACUCAAGUUAUUGAUUACUUUUAUUUUACUUUAUUUGUCAACGUAUUUCAAUAUAUUACUAAUAAAAAAUUUUCAUAUAUUUUGUUUACGAUAGGUACGGUGUUGUUGGAUGUCAUGAUAUAAUAGGUGAUGAUUGUUUUUUCAAUUGGUCAAAAACGAAUUCGAGGUUAUUGGUUCCGAAGCUCCAGCAAGUAGAAAUAUUAGAGUAAUAGGCUUUCGUUUAUAUUUGAAAUCAGAAAAACGUAUUUCAUUCAUUUACUUAUUUUUUCGGUUUUCUUUGAUUUUAAUUUUCAA